GGUGAACGCUGGCGGCGUGCCUAAUACAUGCAAGUCGAGCGAACGGACGAGAAGCUUGCUUCUCUGAUGUUAGCGGCGGACGGGUGAGUAACACAUGGAUAACCUACCUAUAAGACUGGGAUAACUUCGGGAAACCGGAGCUAAUACUGGAUAAUAUUUUGAACCGCAUGGUUCAAAAGUGAAAGACGGUCUUGCUGUCACUUAUAGAUGGAUCCGCGCUGCAUUAGCUAGUUGGUAAGGUAACGGCUCACCAAGGCAACGAUGCAUAGCCGACCUGAGAGGGUGAUCGGCCACACUGGAACUGAGACACGGUCCAGACUCCUACGGGAGGCAGCAGUAGGGAAUCUUCCGCAAUGGGCUAAAGCCUGACGGAGCAACGCCGCGUGAGUGAUGAAGGUCUUCGGAUCGUAAAACUCUGUUAUUAGGGAAGAACAUAUGUGUAAGUAACUGUGCACAUCUUGACGGUACCUAAUCAGAAAGCCACGGCUAACUACGUG
rnacentral:rRNA from 1 species